UACAGAGGGUGCAAGCGUUGCUCGGAUUUACUGGGCGUAAAGCGUACGCAGACGGCUUGGAAGGUCGGGCGUGAAAGCCCCGGGCUCAACCCGGGAAAUGCGUCCGAAACCACCUUGCUAGAGUAUGAGAGAGGGAAGCGGAAUUCCUGGUGUAGAGGUGAAAUUCGUAGAUAUCAGGAGGAACAUCUGCGGCGAAGGCGGCUUCCUGGCUCAUUACUGACGUUCAGGUACGAAAGCGUGGGUAGCAAACAGG
rnacentral:rRNA from 1 species